GACGAACGCUGGCGGCGUGCUUAACACAUGCAAGUCGAACGGAAAGGCCUGCUUUCCCUUGUGGACUGCGGGUACUCGCGUGGCGAACGGGCGAGUAACACGUGAGUGAUCUGCUCCCAACUCGGGUAUAAGCUUGGGAAACUGGGUCUAAUUCCCGAUAGGACCGCAGGGUGGUGUCUGUGGUGGCAACCGUUUUUCUUGUGGUCGGGGAUGAGCUCGUGGCCUAUCAGCUUGUUGGUGGGGUAAUGGCCUACCAAGGCGGCGACGGGUAGCCGGCCUGGGGGGGUGGACGGCCACAUUGGGACUGAGAUACGGCCCAGACUCCUACGGGAGGCAGCAGUGGGGAAGAAGGCGCGAGGGGCGGAGGCCUGAGGCAGCGACGCCGCGUGGGGGAUGACGGCCUUCGGAUUGUGAACUCCUUUCGGCCGCGAGGAAGCCACCUGGUUGGAAGGGUGGUGACGGUAGUGGUAGAAGAAGCACCGGCUAACUACGUG
rnacentral:rRNA from 1 species